rnacentral:tRNA from 1 species
GGAGUUGUGGCUCAGCGGCAGAGCGCUCGCCUUGCACGUGUGAGACCCUGGGUUCAAUUCUCAGCGCCA